UUGAAUUAUUAAAAGUUCUGGCUUUAUGUAAUAAAGAAAUUAAUAAUGUUGUGUUGAAGAAUACUGCUGACAAUCUCAAACUUACAUCUCUUGAUAUUCAAAAAGACAAAGGCUUUCAUUAUAGAUUUGGGAGAUGAUUUGCUCUCUAUUUUAGUUGAUGAAUGUCGAGAUGUAUCAAUUAAAGAGCAAAUGGGAGUUGUCA
rnacentral:misc_RNA from 1 species